GUCAGGAUGGCCGAGUGGUCUAAGGAGCUGUGUUCAGGUCGCAGUCUCCCCUGGAGGCGUGGGUUCGAAUCCCACUCCUGACA
rnacentral:tRNA from 2 species